CACGUAGGGCGCAAGCGUUGUCCGGAAUUAUUGGGCGUAAAGAGCUCGUAGGCGGUCUGUUGCGUCCGCUGUGAAAACUCGGGGCUUAACCCCGAGCCUGCAGUGGAUACGGGCAGACUAGAGGUAGGUAGGGGAGAAUGGAAUUCCCGGUGUAGCGGUGAAAUGCGCAGAUAUCAGGAGGAACACCGGUGGCGAAGGCGCUCAUCUGGCCCAAUACUGACGCUGAGGUGCGAAAGCGUGGGGAGCAAACAGG
rnacentral:rRNA from 1 species